UGCCAGCCGCCGCGGUAAUACGGAGGGUGCAAGCAUUGAUCGGAUUUACUGGGCGUAAAGAGCGCGUAGGCGGAGAGAAAAGUCAGACGUGAAAGCCCGAGGCUCAACCUCGGAAUUGCAUCUGAAACUUUCUCCCUAGAGGGUAGGCGGAGAAAACGGAAUUCCAUGUGUAGCGGUGAAAUGCGUAGAUAUAUGGAAGAAUACCGGUGGCGAAGGCGGUUUUCUAGCUUACUCCUGACGCUCAGGCGCGAAAGCAAGGGGAGCGAACAGGAUUAGAUA
rnacentral:rRNA from 1 species